UACAGAGGUCUCAAGCGUUGUUCGGAUUCAUUGGGCGUAAAGGGUGCGUAGGUGGCGCCAUAAGUCAGGUGUGAAAUCUCGGGGCUCAACCCCGAAACUGCACUUGAUACUGUGGUGCUGGAGUACUGGAGAGGAGAUUGGAAUUUACGGUGUAGCAGUGAAAUGCGUAGAUAUCGUAAGGAAGACCAGUGGCGAAGGCGAAUCUCUGGACAGUUACUGACGCUGAGGCAUGAAAGCGUGGGGAGCAAACAGG
rnacentral:rRNA from 1 species